UGUGCCCGAAACCUUAGGGACUAUUUUGAUAAAAUAGACAUAGAGCCCAUAAAUCUCUCAUUUCUC
rnacentral:tRNA from 1 species